GACGAACGCUGGCGGCGUGCUUAACACAUGCAAGUCGAACGGAAAGGCCUCUUUCGGGGGGUACUCGAGUGGCGAACGGGUGAGUAACACGUGAGUAACCUGCCCUUGACUUUGGGAUAACUUCAGGAAACUGGGGCUAAUACCGGAUAGGAGCUCCUUCUGCAUGGUGGGGGUUGGAAAGUUUCGGCGGUUGGGGAUGGACUCGCGGCUUAUCAGCUUGUUGGUGGGGUAGUGGCUUACCAAGGCUUUGACGGGUAGCCGGCCUGAGAGGGUGACCGGCCACAUUGGGACUGAGAUACGGCCCAGACUCCUACGGGAGGCAGCAGUGGGGAAUAUUGCACAAUGGGUGGAAGCCUGAUGCAGCAACGCCGUGUGCGGGAUGACGGCCUUCGGGUUGUAAACCGCUUUCGCUCAUGACGAAGCUUUGUGUGACGGUAGUGGGUAAAGAAGCACCGGCUAACUACGUG
rnacentral:rRNA from 1 species